AUACGGAGGGUGCAAGCGUUAAUCGGAAUUACUGGGCGUAAAGCGUACGUAGGCGGUUUAUUAAGUCAGAUGUGAAAGCCCCGGGCUUAACCUGGGAACUGCAUUUGAAACUAGUAGACUAGAGGAUGGUAGAGGGGGGUAGAAUUCCUAGUGUAGCGGUGAAAUGCGUAGAUAUUAGGAGGAAUACCAGUGGCGAAGGCGGCCCCCUGGACCAAUACUGACGCUGAGGUACGAAAGCGUGGGGAGCAAACAGGAGUAGAAACCCUAGUAGUCC
rnacentral:rRNA from 1 species